rnacentral:rRNA from 1 species
UACAGAGGUCUCAAGCGUUGUUCGGAUUCAUUGGGCGUAAAGGGUGCGUAGGCGGCGCGGUAAGUCGGGUGUGAAAUCUCGGGGCUUAACUCCGAAACUGCAUUCGAUACUGCCGUGCUUGAGGACUGGAGAGGAGACUGGAAUUUACGGUGUAGCGGUGAAAUGCGUAGAGAUCGUGAGGAAGACCAGUGGCGAAGGCGGAUCUCUGGACAGUUCCUGACGCUGAGGCGCGAAGGCCAGGGGAGCAAACGGG